UUUCCGGAGGUGGUACAUUCCACGCCCCCCACCCCCCAUCAAUGGCCGAGUCCGGAGCAUCCUUUGCACAAAGCCCCGAUUAUUCCAGCUCUGGGUGUAAAGGCGCCUGUAUUCCAGGGACCCAAGCUCCCGACCGCCUCCACCCCCAGUCUUCAAGACCCAGGCGCCAGAUUCUCCUUCUCCUCCUCCUCCAACCUUAAGGACCCGGCACCAGAGCAAGCUCUGCCUUAAGGGACCCAGGCGCCCCCAACCCCCUUCACCUCACUCCAAGCAUCCAAACAACUGAGCUCCCCGUUCCACCCCAGGGACCCUCCCUGACAUGAAGCAGGCACCUGAAGGCCCCUCCCUCCCCCUUCCUCUCAGAGAUCCGGGUCCCUGGGCUCUCACUGCUCAGCUGCUCAGGUGUCCACCCUCCCCCUCCCCCUGCAGUUUGAGCUCCCAGUGCCAGGGAGUCCUGGGCUCCAGGGGCCUGGUACCUGCCCUCUCAGUCCCUGAGGCCCCCUAGCCCCUGGGCUUUCUGAUAGGCUUUCCAGGGCUCAGAGAGCCCAAGGACCAGCCUCCUGGGAAGCAGGUGGAAGGGCAUCCUGGUAGUGAUGCUCUCGGUCACUGAGUCAGUCCCAGGACCCCCAGAUCUCAGCCAGUCAGAGCACCCCAGGCCCGGGCCCUCUGAGGACCCAGAGCCCCAGGUCUGACAGGGGAAUGUCGGUGGGGGUGGGGAGGGUGAGUCAGCAGUUGGAGUCACACAAAGCCCCCCUGUGGCCCCCGCAUUCCCGGGAUUCCCUGAGCUCCCAAGAUGCUGGGCUGGAGCCCAAGCCGGGGGCGGGGAUUCCUAGGAGGCUUCCCCAGAAGUGUCCCAUACACCACCAGGGAAGCGUCCUGAGCAGCCUGGGCACCUGGGGGAGGGGGCUGGAGGGGACAGAAGGGCAGGCUACCUGGGGCCUGGCGGGGCUGGACAGCAGAGCGCCCGGCUUCUUGCAGAGUGGGGACGGAGGGAGAAAAAAGUUUACUGGUGCCAUGAGGGGUUGGGAACUAUAGGUCUGUCUAUCUCCCUCCCUGGGGGAGAGAAAGCCUGCUUUGUCCUGGCGGGGACAGAGCUGCCUCGCACGGCAUCAACCACCCCCAGCUCGGUCACCUCGGGGACCCGCGCAUCCUCAUCCCCCAGGCCCAUCGAGGACCCAGGUGGCCUGAUGCCCCCCUCCCCAGCCCUUAGAAUUGCAGAGCUGAAAGGUAGGGAAACUGAGGCCGGGAAGAACAGGAAGGAUUCUCAAACUAGAAAGCCCUAGAGACGCACCAUAAAGCCCAACCCUCUUGUUUUCCAGGUAGGGAAACUGAGGCCCAGAAGAGUAGGAGAGAUUCUCAAACUAGAAAGCCCUAGACGCACCAUUAAGCCCAACUCUCUUGUUUUCCAGGUAGGGAAACUGAGGCCCGGAAGAGCGGGAGGGAUUCCCCAAGCCCACAGGAUAAAUCUCUAGUGGAGAGCCAGUACCAGAAUUCAGGUCUGAUUCCCAGAAGAGUCUAUCUCUCCCAUCACAACUG